rnacentral:rRNA from 1 species
GAUGAACGCUGGCGGCGUGCCUAAUACAUGCAAGUCGAGCGAACGGACGAGAAGCUUGCUUCUCUGAUGUUAGCGGCGGACGGGUGAGUAACACGUGGAUAACCUACCUAUAAGACUGGGAUAACUUCGGGAAACCGGAGCUAAUACCGGAUAAUAUUUUGAACCGCAUGGUUCAAAAGUGAAAGACGGUCUUGCUGUCACUUAUAGAUGGAUCCGCGCUGCAUUAGCUAGUUGGUAAGGUAACGGCUUACCAAGGCAACGAUGCAUAGCCGACCUGAGAGGGGGAUCGGCCACACUGGAACUGAGACCCGGUCCAGACCCCUACGGGAGGCAGCAGGAGGAAAUCUUCCGCAAGGGGCGAAAGCCUGACGGAGCAACGCCGCGGGAGUGAUGAAGGUCUUCGGAUCGUAAAACUCUGUUAUUAGGAAAAAAAAUAUGUGUAAGUAACUGUGCACAUCUUGACGGUACCAAAACAAAAAGCCACGGCUAACUACGG